AAAUUACAUGGCGUAUUACAAUGUACUGCCUGGAUUUAGAGAAACUAAUUGUGCUGUAGGUGUGGCUCUGCACAUGUCAUAUAAAUUUAGAUUUCCUUUAGCCAAAAUAUAAACCCAUUCUAAGCUGUCAACAAUCAACAUUGAUACAUUGUCACCAUCAGUUACCAGAUUUUAUUUGGUCCUCAGUGUGUGCAGCUGUCCUAGCCAGGUACUAUAAAUGUGUCUAAUCUCAUUGGUUACGUCCAUCCAUGGCAUUGGCACUCCGGCUGUUUUAGAAUUACCCGGCUGUUUUAGAAAUGCAAUUCUAGAAAAUCUGGUAAACCAUCAAUGUUUUGCUGAAAUCUGCAAUUGUAUCCAAUACACAUUUAAUUAUUUUCUGCUGACGGUUGUAUGUAUAAGGGAGGAUG